rnacentral:rRNA from 1 species
CCUACGGGCCGCACCAGUGGGGAGUAUUGCACAAUGGGCGCAAGCCUGAUGCAGCCAUGCCGCGUGUAUGAAGAAGGCCUUCGGGUUGUAAAGUACUUUCAGCGGGGAGGAAGGUGUUGUGGUUAAUAACCACAGCAAUUGACGUUACCCGCAGAAGAAGCACCGGCUAACUCCGUGCCAGCAGCCGCGGUAAUACGGAGGGUGCAAGCGUUAAACGGAAUUACUGGGCGUAAAGCGCACGCAGGCGGUCUGUCAAGUCGGAUGUGAAAUCCCCGGGCACAACCUGGGAACUGCAUUCGAAACUGGCAGGCUAGAGUCUUGUAAAGGGGGGUAGAAUUCCAGGUGUAGCGGUGAAAUGCGUAGAGAUCUGGAGGAAUACCGGUGGCGAAGGCGGCCCCCUGGACAAAGACUGACGCUCAGGUGCGAAAGCGUGGGGAGCAAACAGGAUUAGAUACCCCAGUAGUC